CAGUCGCCACGGGAAUACGUAGGUGGCAAGCGUUGUCCGGAAUUAUUGGGCGUAAAGGGCUCGCAGGCGGUUUCUUAAGUCUGAUGUGAAAGCCCCCGGCUCAACCGGGGAGGGUCAUUGGAAACUGGGAAACUUGAGUGUAGAAGAGGAGAGUGGAAUUCCACGUGUAGCGGUGAAAUGCGUAGAGAUGUGGAGGAACACCAGUGGCGAAGGCGACUCUCUGGUCUGUAACUGACGCUGAGGAGCGAAAGCGUGGGGAGCGAACAGGAUUAGAUACCCGUGUAGUCCCUGUCUCUUAUAC
rnacentral:rRNA from 1 species